rnacentral:misc_RNA from 1 species
UCCGGUUUGUCACCGGCAGUCUCGCAUGAGUCCCCAACUAAAUGCUGGCAACAUGCGACGGGGGUUGCGCUCGUUGCGGGACUUAACCCAACAUCUCACGACACGAGCUGACGACAACCAUGCACCACCUGUGCAGGGCCCUUGCGGACCCCGUAUCUCUACGAGACUUCCCUGCAUGUCAAGCCUUGGUAAGGUUCUUCGCGUUGCGUCGAAUUAAGCCACAUGCUCCGCCGCUUGUGCGGGCCCCCGUCAAUUCCUUUGAGUUUUAAUCUUGUGACCGUACUCCCCAGGCGGGAUGCUUAAUGCGUUAGCUGCGCCACUGACGAGUAAACCCGCCAACGGCUAGCAUCCAUCGUUUACGGCGUGGACUAC